rnacentral:misc_RNA from 1 species
AUGACAUCGGGAUGGAAGCGGGAUCCUCGUAACGCAGCGGAGAGAUAUAGCGUAAAGCCCGACAGCAU